rnacentral:lncRNA from 1 species
GGGGUGAAUUGGUGUUGUUUCAAAAACAAAAUCUUUUCGCAAUCUUUAUACAAAAGUAUAAAGCUUUUUUAUCUUUCUUGAAAUGCAAGUAAUGAAAAUUUCUAUGCAGCGGAAAAACGUAGUUGACUGCUAAACAGAUAAAGUCGACUGAAAUAAAGAGUGCAGGGAUAGAGAAAAUCAAACACUGGUUUUUAUACUGGUUUGGCCAACAAUGCCU